GACGAACGCUGGCGGCGUGCUUAACACAUGCAAGUCGAACGCUGAAGCUCAGCUUGCUGGGUGGAUGAGUGGCGAACGGGUGAGUAACACGUGAGUAACCUGCCCUCUUCUUUGGGAUAACGCCCGGAAACGGGUGCUAAUACUGGAUAUUCACUGAUUCUCGCAUGGGGGUUGGUGGAAAGGUUUUUUCUGGUGGGGGAUGGGCUCGCGGCCUAUCAGCUUGUUGGUGGGGUGAUGGCCUACCAAGGCUUUGACGGGUAGCCGGCCUGGGAGGGUGACCGGUCACAUUGGGACUGAGAUACGGCCCAGACUCCUACGGGAGGCAGCAGUGGGGAAUAUUGCACAAUGGGCGAAAGCCUGAUGCAGCGACGCCGCGUGAGGGAUGGAGGCCUUCGGGUUGUAAACCUCUUUCGCUCAUGGUCAAGCCGCAGCUUUGGGUUGUGGUGAGGGUAGUGGGUAAAGAAGCGCCGGCUAACUACGU
rnacentral:rRNA from 1 species